UACUCCUACGGGAGGCAGCAGUGGGGAAUAUUGCGCAAUGGGGGGAACCCUGACGCAGCCAUGCCGCGUGAAUGAAGAAGGCCUUCGGGUUGUAAAGUUCUUUCGGUAUUGAGGAAGGUUGAUGUGUUAAUAGCACAUCAAAUUGACGUUAAAUACAGAAGAAGCACCGGCUAACUCCGUGCCAGCAGCCGCGGUAAUACGGAGGGUGCGAGCGUUAAUCGGAAUAACUGGGCGUAAAGGGCACGCAGGCGGUUAUUUAAGUGAGGUGUGAAAGCCCUGGGCUUAACCUAGGAAUUGCAUUUCAGACUGGGUAACUAGAGUACUUUAGGGAGGGGUAGAAUUCCACGUGUAGCGGUGAAAUGCGUAGAGAUGUGGAGGAAUACCGAAGGCGAAGGCAGCCCCUUGGGAAUGUACUGACGCUCAUGUGCGAAAGCGUGGGGAGCAAACAGGAUUAGAUACCCUGGUAGUCCACGCUGUAAACGCUGUCGAUUUGGGGGUUGGGGUUUAACUCUGGCGCCCGUAGCUAACGUGAUAAAUCGACCGCCUGGGGAGUACGGCCGCAAGGUUAAAACUA
rnacentral:rRNA from 1 species